UGGCUCAGAUUGAACGCUGGCGGCGUGCUUAACACAUGCAAGUCGCGCGUGAAAGGACUUCGGUCCGAGUAAAGCGGCGCACGGGUGAGUAACGCGUGGAUGAUCUACCCAUGAGUUAGGAAUAACGGCUGGAAACGGUCGCUAAUACCAAAUACGCUCCGAUUUCAACUUCGGGGGAAAGGUGGCCUCUGCUUGCAAGCUACUGCUCAUGGAUGAGUCCGCGUCCCAUUAGCUAGUUGGUGGGGUAACGGCCCACCAAGGCGACGAUGGGUAGCCGGUCUGAGAGGAUGACCGGCCACACUGGGACUGGAACACGGCCCAGACUCCUACGGGAGGCAGCAGUGGGGAAUAUUGCGCAAUGGGCGAAAGCCUGACGCAGCGACGCCGCGUGAGGGAUGAAAGGUCCUCGGAUCGUAAACCUCUGUCAGGAGGGAAGAACCGCCACGGUGCUAAUCAGCCGUGGUCUGACGGUACCUCCAAAGGAAGCACCGGCUAACUCCGUGCCAGCAGCUGC
rnacentral:rRNA from 1 species